AACGAACGCUGGCGGCAGGCUUAACACAUGCAAGUCGAACGCUCCGCAAGGAGAGUGGCAGACGGGUGAGUAACGCGUGGGAAUCUACCUGAUACUACGGAACAACAGAGGGAAACUUCUGCUAAUACCGUAUACGCCCUACGGGGGAGAGAUUUAUCGGUAUCAGAUGAGCCCGCGUAAGAUUAGCUAGUUGGUGGGGU
rnacentral:rRNA from 1 species